rnacentral:rRNA from 1 species
CGGACGGGUGAGUAACACGUGAGCAACCUGCCUUUCAGAAGGGGAUAACGUUUGGAAACGAACGCUAAUACCGCAUAAAAUAUCGGAGUCGCAUGGCACUGAUAUCAAAGGAGCAAUCCGCUGAAAGAUGGGCUCGCGUCCGAUUAGGCAGUUGGCGGGGUAACGGCCCACCAAACCGACAAUCGGUAGCCGGACUGAGAGGUUGAACGGCCACAUUGGGACUGAGACACGGCCCAGACUCCUACGGAAGGCAGCAG